UCAAUUGCCUGAUCACGUUGGUCCGGCUCUACAGGUAUCCUGAGGCGAUUCCGGCGCCGGAAAUAAAACGUGGAAAUGACAAAGGUCUACUCCGUAGCAUGGGUCGCGUCCUUGGCAGCAGAGUAGGAGUCCUGCAAAUCCUGGCAAUGGCCUUACUGGUAGCUGCUUGGCGGGGCUUCGGGCUGCAUGAUGUGGCCUUUGCGCAGGUGAAAUACUACGUGCGGCCAGACAACGAAUCACUAUGGAACCUAAUGGAUGUUGAGAUAAAACUAAUAUUCAUCGCAUUAGGAGUUAUU